rnacentral:rRNA from 1 species
GGUUAACGCUGGCGGCGUGCCUAACACAUGCAAGUCGAACGGUUCUAAGCGCGAGCUUAGGAUAGUGGCGAACGGGUGAGUAAAAGGUAGGAAUCUACCCCUUGGACGGAGAUAGCUACUGGAAACGGUAGGUAAACUUCGAUAAGCCCGAGAGGGGAAAGUGGUGAGACAGCCGAGGGAUGAGCCUACUCUCCAUCAGGUAGUUGGUGAGAUAAAAGCUUACCAAGCCGAUGACGGAUAACCCGGUGUGAGAGCAUGAACGGUCACAAGGGCACUGAGAGACGGGCCCUACUCCUACGGGAGGCAGCAGUGGGGAAUCUUGGACAAUGGGCGAAAGCCUGAUCCAGCGACGCCGCGUGGAGGAAGAAGUCCUUCGGGAUGUAAACUUCUGAACUAGCCAAAUAAAAGGCCUGUGGACACACAGGAGAAGAAAGUAGGCUAGGAAAAGUCCCGGCUAACUACGUG